AGUACGUGAUAAAGUGCGACAUGUCGGCCCUGCAGAGGGUUUUGUACAGACACAUGCAGGCCAAGGGAGUCCUGCUCACAGAUGGGUCAGAAAAAGACAAGAAGGGUAAAGGAGGCACGAAGACCCUGAUGAACACUAUCAUGCAACUGAGGAAGAUUUGCAACCACCCCUACAUGUUCCAGCACAUCGAGGAGUCUUUCUCUGAGCAUCUCGGUUAUUCUGGUGGAAUAGUGAGUGG